GGUAAUGCCGGAUGCUCCAGUUGAUCGCAUGGUCUUCUGGGAAAGCUUUCGCGGUAUGGGAUGGGGUCGCGUCCUAUCAGCUUGACGGCGGGGUAACGGCCCACCGUGGCUUCGACGGGUAGCCGGCCUGAGAGGGCGACCGGCCACAUUGGGACUGAGAUACGGCCCAGACUCCUACGGGAGGCAGCAGUGGGGAAUAUUGCACAAUGGGCGCAAGCCUGAUGCAGCGACGCCGCGUGAGGGAUGGAGGCCUUCGGGUUGUAAACCUCUUUUAUCGGGGAGCAAGCGAGAGUGAGUUUACCCGUUGAAUAAGCACCGGCUAACUACGUGCCAGCAGCCGCGGUAAUACGUAGGGUGCAAGCGUUAUCCGGAAUUAUUGGGCGUAAAGGGCUCGUAGGCGGUUCGUCGCGUCCGGUGUGAAAGUCCAUCGCUUAACGGUGGAUCCGCGCCGGGUACGGGCGGGCUUGAGUGCGGUAGGGGAGACUGGAAUUCCCGGUGUAACGGUGGAAUGUGUAGAU
rnacentral:rRNA from 2 species